rnacentral:rRNA from 1 species
UACGUAGGGAGCGAGCGUUGUCCGGAUUUAUUGGGCGUAAAGAGCUCGUAGGCGGUUUGGCAAGUCGGAUGUGAAAGCUCCGGGCUCAACCCGGAGACGCCAUUCGAUACUGCCAUGACUAGAGUCCGGUAGGGGGGUGUGGAAUUCCCAGUGUAGCGGUGAAAUGCGCAGAUAUUGGGAGGAACACCAAUGGCGAAGGCAGCUCGCUGGAACGGUACUGACGCUGAGGCGCGAAAGCGUGGGGAGCGAACAGG